ACUCCUGCGGGAGGCAGCAGUGGGGAAUAUUGCACAAUGGGCGCAAGCCUGAUGCAGCCAUGCCGCGUGUAUGAAGAAGGCCUUCGGGUUGUAAAGUACUUUCAGCGGGGAGGAAGGCAAUACGGUUAAUAACCGUGUUGAUUGACGUUACCCGCAGAAGAAGCACCGGCUAACUCCGUGCCAGCAGCCGCGGUAAUACGGAGGGUGCAAGCGUUAAUCGGAAUUACUGGGCGUAAAGCGCACGCAGGCGGUCUGUCAAGUCGGAUGUGAAAUCCCCGGGCUCAACCUGGGAACUGCAUUCGAAACUGGCAGGCUUGAGUCUUGUAGAGGGGGGUAGAAUUCCAGGUGUAGCGGUGAAAUGCGUAGAGAUCUGGAGGAAUACCGGUGGCGAAGGCGGCCCCCUGGACAAAGACUGACGCUCAGGUGCGAAAGCGUGGGGAGCAAACAGGAUUAGAUACCCGUGUAGUCCCAUGAU
rnacentral:rRNA from 1 species